AGCACUACGAACGGGUGGAGCCUGCGGUUUAAUUGGAUUCAACGCCGGAAAUCUCGACCGGGACGACAGCAAUAUGAAGGUCAGGCUGAAGACCUUACCCGAUUAGCUGAGAGGUGGUGCAUGGCCGUCGUCAGUUCGUACUGUGAAGCAUCCUGUUAAGUCAGGCAACGAGCGAGACCCACGUCCACAGUUGCCAGCAUACCCUCCGGGGUGAUGGGUACACUGUGGAGACCGCCGCUGCUAAAGCGGAGGAAGGAGUGGGCAACGGUAGGUCAGUAUGCCCCGAAUCUCCCGGGCUACACGCGGGCUACAAUGGUUGGUACAAUGGGCAUCUACCCCGAAAGGGGAAGGAAAUCUCUUAAAGCCAAUCGUAGUUCGGAUUGAGGGCUGCAACUCGCCCUCAUGAAGCUGGAAUCCGUAGUAAUCGCGUUUCAACAGAACGCGGUGAAUACGUCCCUGCUCCUU
rnacentral:rRNA from 1 species